rnacentral:rRNA from 1 species
UACAGAGGUCUCAAGCGUUGUUCGGAUUCAUUGGGCGUAAAGGGUGCGUAGGCGGCGCGGUAAGGCGGGUGUGAAAUCUUGGAGCUUAACUCCAGAACUGCCUUUGAUACUGGCGAUCUCGAGUCCGGGAGAGGUGAGUGGAACUGCGAGUGUAGAGGUGAAAUUCGUAGAUAUUCGCAAGAACACCAGUGGCGAAGGCGGCUCACUGGCCCGGUACUGACGCUGAGGAGCGAAAGCGUGGGGAGCGAACAGG